AUUGAACGCUGGCGGCAGGCCUAACACAUGCAAGUCGAGCGGAUGACGGGAGCUUGCUCCUUGAUUCAGCGGCGGACGGGUGAGUAAUGCCUAGGAAUCUGCCUGGUAGUGGGGGACAACGUUUCGAAAGGAACGCUAAUACCGCAUACGUCCUACGGGAGAAAGCAGGGGACCUUCGGGCCUUGCGCUAUCAGAUGAGCCUAGGUCGGAUUAGCUAGUUGGUGGGGUAAUGGCUCACCAAGGCGACGAUCCGUAACUGGUCUGAGAGGAUGAUCAGUCACAAUGGAACUGAGACACGGUCCAGACUCAUACGGGAGGCAGCAGUGGGGAAUAUUGGACAAUGGGCGAAAGCCUGAUCCAGCCAUGCCGCGUGUGUGAAGAAGGUCUUCGGAUUGUAAAGCACUUUAAGUUGGGAGGAAGGGCAGUAAGUUAAUACCUUGCUGUUUUGACGUUACCGACAGAAUAAGCACCGGCUAACUCUGUGCCAGCAGCCGCCGUAAUAC
rnacentral:rRNA from 1 species